GGGGUAACGGCCCACCAAGGCGACGAUCAGUAGCCGGACUGAGAGGUUGAACGGCCACAUUGGGACUGAGACACGGCCCAGACUCCUACGGGAGGCAGCAGUGGGGAAUAUUGCGCAAUGGGGGCAACCCUGACGCAGCAACGCCGCGUGAUUGAAGAAGGCCUUCGGGUUGUAAAGAUCUUUAAUCAGGGACGAAAUUUGACGGUACCUGAAGAAUAAGCUCCGGCUAACUAC
rnacentral:rRNA from 1 species